GAACGCUCGGCGGAAUGCUUUACACAUGCAAGUCGAACGGCAGCACGGACUUCGGUCUGGUGGCGAGUGGCGAACGGGUGAGUAAUAUAUCGGAACGUAUCCAAUAAUGGGGGAUAACUAAUCGAAAGGUUGGCUAAUACCGCAUACGCCCUACGGGGGAAAGCUAGGGAUCUUCGGACCUGGCGUUAAUGGAGCGGCCGAUAUCUGAUUAGCUAGUUGGUGGGGUAAAGGCCCACCAAGGCGACGAUCAGUAGCUGGUCUGAGAGGACGACCAGCCACACUGGAACUGAGACACGGUCCAGACUCCUACGGGAGGCAGCAGUGGGGAAUUUUGGACAAUGGGCGCAAGCCUGAUCCAGCCAUUCCGCGUGAGUGAAGAAGGCCUUCGGGUUGUAAAGCUCUUUCGCAAGGGAAGAAAACUUAUCCUCUAACAUAGGAUGAGGUUGACGGUACCUUGAUAAGAAGCACCGGCUAACUACGUGCCAGCAGCCGCGGUAAUACGUAGGGUGCGAGCGUUAAUCGGAAUUACUGGGCGUAAAGCGUGCGCAGGCUGUUUUGUAAGUCAGAUGUGAAAUCCCUGAGCUCAACUUAGGAACUGCGUUUGAAACUACAAGACUAGAAUAUGUCAGAGGGGGGUAGAAUUCCACGUGUAGCAGUGAAAUGCGUAGAGAUGUGGAGGAAUACCAAUGGCGAAGGCAGCCCCCUGGGAUAAUAUUGACGCUCAUGCACGAAAGCGUGGGGAGCAAACAGGAUUAGAUACCCUGGUAGUCCACG
rnacentral:rRNA from 1 species